CAACCCUCAAGCACUGCUUGGUAUUGGAUGCAACUUGUAGUGCAUCUUAAAAGCAUUGGUAACAGCAUUUAACUUUCAGUGUAGUAAAUUUUCUCGCUCUGGAGCUUAUCUACCUGCUUGCCAGAACUAUUAUUUCAAA
rnacentral:misc_RNA from 1 species